rnacentral:rRNA from 1 species
CAGUAGCCGCGGUAAUACGUAGGGGGCAAGCGUUAUCCGGAAUUACUGGGUGUAAAGGGAGCGUAGACGGUUAAACAAGUCUGAAGUGAAAUGCCGGGGCUCAACCCCGGAGCUGCUUUGGGAACUGUAGAACUGGAGUGUCGGAGGGGUAAGCGGAAUUCCCAGUGUAGCGGUGAAAUGCGUAGAUAUUGGGAGGAACACCGGCGGCGAAGGCGGCUUACUGGACGACAACUGACGUUGAGGCUCGAAGGCGUGGGUAGCAAACAGGAUUAGAUACCCGUGUAGUCCCUGUCUCUUAUCA